UACAAGGAGAAUGAAGACUCACCAAAAGCAUCAGGACAGAACUUCACCAUCACUGACUUCAGAGCUGAACACAGUGGGAAUUAUUACUGUGAAGCCCAGAACAGAAGAGGACGUCAUAACUCCACCUUACAUCUGCUUGUUGUGGCAGAUAAAACAACAAUGAUAAUAAAUAUCAUCAGGUUGACUCUGGUGGUUGUGAUGCUGAUCCCUCUGCUUCUGGUUUGUCUGUGGAUGAG